UUGAUCUCUCCAGCAAUAGCCUAUCAGGUAGUUUGCCUAAUGAUAUGUGUCAACAUCUUCCCAAGCUUGAAGGGCUUUACCUGAGUUGGAAUGAAUUAUCUGGUAACAUUCCAUUUGGCAUGGGCAAAUGCAACAACCUUAAAAAUUUGUCAUUGUCCCGUAAUCAAUUUAUGGGGAUCAUUCCAAGAAGUAUUGGAAAUCUAACACGACUCCAGGAAUUAUAUUUGGGGUUUAAUAAUCUAGAAGGUAAUCAAUUUCCUUGAUUUCUUGAAUUUAAAGUAUGUUUUUUUUAUAAAAGAGUUUGAUUUGUAAUAGAUAACAAAAGGAAAAACUUUUAAUUUUAUUUGAUGAAAAACAUAUGCUGAAAUAUAUUAAAAUCUAACAUCUCCAAAUUACUGUAGAACAGAAAAGAAAACCUCUUUGACUUAUGCUAACAAAAUAGGUAGUUUGACACCUUGAUUUUUCGAUUAUGUGUGCAGGUCAAAUUCCUGAGGAAAUCGGUAAUCUUCUUGGUUUGGAAAUGCUUAAUAUUGUAGCAAUUAAAGGCCUUACAGGUCAGAUUCCAACUUCGAUCUUCAACAUUUCUUCUCUGAAGGCUAUUAAUCUCUCCAACAAUAGUCUAUCAGGUAGUUUGCCUAAUAAUAUGUGUCAACAUCUUCCCAAGCUUGAAGGGCUUUACUUGAGUUUGAAUGAAUUAUCUGGUAACAUUCCAUUUGGCAUGGGCAAAUGCAACAACCUUAAAAAUUUGUCAUUGUCCUGUAAUCAAUUGACGGGGAUCAUUCCAAGAAGUAUUGGAAAUCUAACACGACUCUGGGAAUUAUAU
rnacentral:lncRNA from 1 species